GCUGGAAUGGUCUAGUUGGUUAUGACGAGUGCCUAAUACGCAGUAGGUCCCGAGUUCGACUCUCGGUUACAGUA
rnacentral:tRNA from 1 species